rnacentral:rRNA from 1 species
CGGGGGGCUGCAGUGGGGAAUCUUGCGCAAUGGGCGAAAGCCUGACGCAGCAACGCCGCGUGCGGGAAGAAGGCCCUCGGGUUGUAAACCGCUUUCAGCAGGAACGAAAAUGACGGUACUUGCAGAAGAAGGUGCGGCCAACUACGUGCCAGCAGCCGCGGUGACACGUAGGCACCAAGCGUUGUCCGGAUUUAUUGGGCGUAAAGAGCUCGUAGGCGGUUCGGUAAGUCGGGUGUGAAAACUUUGGGCUUAACCCAAAGCCUGCAUCCGAUACUGCUGUGACUAGAGUUCGGUAGGGGAGCGGGGAAUUCCUAGUGUAGCGGUGAAAUGCGCAGAUAUUAGGAGGAACACCGGUGGCGAAGGCGCCGCUCUGGGCCGAUACUGACGCUGAGGAGCGAAAGCGUGGGUAGCAAACAGGAUUAGAUACCCUGGUAGUC